UUCACAUUAAUAGAACACUUUCAUGUGAUCCAGGGGGAAGAAGAUCCAUCCACCAACAAGUAAAGCAGUGCAGAAGGUUAUAACCUCAGGGACAGAGUGGAGUACUCUUUUGAAUUUCACUCUAGAGAAAAAAUUGGGUGGGUCCCUGAAACAAAGCCAAAAUUUCAUGUGUGUCUGAGAAGAGGAGGAGGAGGAAAAAGAGGUGGAGAUUAGUGAGGUGCAGCUGAAAAGGAUGGUCUAAACUGGCAACUACUCCAGAGCAACCAGAUCUGGUCCUGGAAUGUGCCUCUGGGAUUUGUAGUCCACAGUCGCAGCCAGCAUUGCCUUUCUUAGCCUCGUUGUUGUUUGACACUGGAACUUUUGCAUCACAAUGGGGAAUGAAAACAGCAGUGCAGAAAAUCAGUCAGAGGUUGCUGGCACAAAUAAUGUCAUCCUAAUGCCACCAAAUCAAGGAACACAGCAGAGCAUUUCUUCUACUUCGACUCCAGAAUCAGGCCAACCUCCUGGUAAUGGUCAGGACGUAAAAAAGAAACAUCGGAAAAAGAAGAGUGCAGAAAAAUCUGGUGGUCAAGACGCCUUGAAUUUCUUACCUGAUACUGCUGCACCGCUGGCUGCUGAUGUCUCCCCAUUGAUUACAGGGUGUUCAAGCCCAGGCAGAGAGAGCUGGUCAGUAGUGUUUGAUUUGAAAGAAGAUGAUCCCCAGCAAGGAGUUAGGUGCCAUAAUCUUCUUUUUGCUGGUCUGGAUAUUAAGGAAGAUGCAAGUUCACAGACCCCAGCUGUAAGCAGCAUCGGUAAUGAAGGCAUCUGUAGCUACACUGCCGAAGAUUUACUCAAUCCGCAUUCAUGUGCAGUGUCUUCAGCGGGGACAGGCCAGAGCAAUACCCUGAAAGAACAUGGAGAACAAGUUGGCUCCAGCUUCUUAAUCCAGGCUGCAGGAGCAGAUGCUAAGGAGAGAAGCCUGCCUAUCUCAAUGCCUUUUGCGGAAUGUGCCAAUGAAUAUGUUGCAGCUGAUUUGACAGGCAGCAGUGAUGAUUUACCAGCCCCAAAUAGCAGUGCAAUAGUGUUUUCCCCUGUGAAUGACAAAGACCUAGGAGUAGCACAUGCCCUAUUUGUGGACAGUGGCCCAAAACGUGACAAUACCACUGCCUAUCCUCUCAAAAAGAGUGACGAUGAUCCAAAAAUUGCAAGCUUGGAAUCCAGCCCUUCUACAGAAGCUACUUGGAUACAAGACAUUAUCCCAGCAAAUUCAAGUGAAUUGCAACCAUUAUGGCAGAGUGAGCAGCUGGGUGACAAGCGGGAGCCACAUGUCAUCUCAUUACCCCAGGGUAAAGCCGCAGAAGAUUAUUUUACCACUCAAGAGGAGCCGGGAUUUUUGGAAGUAGGUCAUCAGGAGCAGAAUGUAAUACAGCUAGGUGGACAGCACGCAGAUGGUAGAGAGGGUUUGUUAAUGAAAGAGGAAACCUUAAUCCUAAAUCACCCAACAACAGAAGGCCCAGACAGUGAAAAAUAUGGAGCAGUUGUGAAUGCUCAGAAUUUGGUUGAUAAUACUGAGCUUGGAAAUAUUAUCAGCUUAGGUAGUGGAGAUAUAACGGCAGGUAAAGGGGUUGAAUCAAACCAACCUCCUUCUGAAAACAAUGGGAAGCAAUUGGAAGCAUGCACUUUAAUGCCAGGCCUGGCUCUUAACCUUCCAGAGCUGUUCCUGGUACCAAAGGUAGAAGAUCCUUUAAGGGAAUGCAUGCUGGUAAAUGAGUGUCAAGACCCUUCCAGGCACAAUGGACAAAAACCAACUUCCAAAACACCCAAACCCAUGUUUGAAAGACAGGUUCCCAAGGUAGAUUUGUUUGUUCACACUGAGCCUUUCAAUGUGCCUCCAUUGCCUCUUGUGGAUGAAGAGCAAAAACUAAAUGUUUCAUCUGGUAGCAGAGAAGAUCAAGGCAACAGCAACAGAAUCGUAAAACCUGAGAGUGUGUCUGGAGAAAGCAUCACACUUUCUAACACAGAAAAUAUUAUGAGUCCCACCUUGGUGGAUGAAAGACGGUCACCGGAAAAUGAUUCAUUAAGUUUUACUUCUGGGAAUAUAACCCCAGAACUGCAUCUCAAAGAAACAGACACCACAGUGCCUGGAGAAAAAAAUGAAGUCUUUAUGGAGGAAGACCAAGCAGAGGAAGCGCAAGUGGCCCAAACCAGGGGAUUACCUGAAGGGUUUAAUGAGGCAGAAGGGCUGUUGUUAAACUUUAUUAACAGCGACAAGGAGGACAUGAAGGAUGCCAGCUUGGGUGAGGUUUCCAAAGAAAUCAACUUUUCAGAACAGAGUUUAAAAACCAAUGUCGGUGAAAAGGCUGAGCAAAAGCCUAUGAAUUCAGAAAGCGGCUUGGAGGUAUCUGAAGACAAGAUACUCCAUUUCCACUGCAAACUUCAACAAGUGAGCAAAGAUAAAGCAAUUGCCAUGCAUAACUUGGAGGAUAAGUGCAGCUUUCCCCUUUUGGAAGCACCACAGUUACCCAGGGAAGAGAGCCUGCCGAGUUGCAAUCAUGUUAACAGUGAGAAAGAAGACAAAAGUUUAGACGUGCCAGGCAGUAAGAUGACUGAAAAGGUUUGCUUAGUUAAUGCACACAGUUCACUGCCCCUGCACCCUGAGAACAAUAACAUUAUGCAGACUAAGCAGGAUGAAUCCUGGGAACAGGCUGGUGCUAAAGAAACUAUACUGAAGUCAGCGUACGAGGCUAAGCAUCACAAACUAUUCCAAAGCAAUGGAGGGUCUGAAGAAAAUGUAGAAACACCCAAAAUAGAACCUGAAUUUGAGGGCUUAUGUGAAUUGGCAGGAACUGCAGACUGCAUUGCUGUAAAAAUUAGACAGGCCUUUUAUGUAUAUGAAAACAAAGAACAGAACAAUCAAGUAACUAAAGUCCCCGAGAGUGAUCCUGAGCAGAUACGUGUAAAUGUUAUUGAACAAAGCAGUACUGUAGAGAUUAAAGACAAUAAUGGAAUUGCACAGGAGCACUGUGGAGUGGACGUGAAAAGUUUUGUGGAUGACCAAGUUUUGGCAUUGACAGGUGCAUGCAAAUCUGAUACACUACUGCAAGUUUGGCAGGAACAAGGGGCUGCAGAAAGGAACAAAAGUGUGCCACUGUUUGAGCCAGAAACCCCCAAAGCAGCAGCAAACACCGUGGAGCUCAGUUCGCAGCAAACACAAGGGAAUAUAGAAGAACUGCGUGACAGCAAAAUCAGUGGCAAAAUAGGACCCUCUGAGUGUGACAAAAGUGGCUGCCCAGAGCCAUUAGAAAGUGAUACUGUAGAAAUGCAAGAAAUGACAGAAGUUUCAGUAACCCUACUACAUGCAGAGCAAAGAGAGAGUACGGACUUCGCUACCAACAGUAUUCAGGAGCAUGCUUCCUAUGUGGGACUUGAAAAGAAGGAGCACCAAAGCAAUCUGACAGCUGUGAUAGCUAAGGAUGGAGACAAGUGUAAGGCAACAGCUCCAAAACAUGAGCAUGUAUUGGAGAAAAGUUAUCAGAGUGACCUCCAGGACCUAUCAGAAACAUCACUAGAUAUUACAGGCAGCAUCCAGACAGAACCUCCUGUGUUAGGGGCAAAACCAUUCAAAUGUCAUUCUGAUGCUACAAAAGGAAAUGACUUGGAUAUGAGUACGGCUGGAGUGCAGAGGAAUAUGGGCCAAAGUGAGCAUUUGCAGAAAAAUUUAGAUCUAAAGGUGACUACUUUGCAAGAAUACAAUGAUCAAACUAAAACAGAUCUAAAGGCAGAAGAAAUUUGCGUCAGCGGGCAAGCCUUAGGCAAGCCCGAGCAGGAGAAUGACUCUUUGAUCUCAGUUAGUAACCAGGACGAAGCAUGUCAGAAUGAUCCAUUUUCCCAAGCAUCCGACAUAAAUCUACAAGUAGUCAGGACAACAGACAGAAGUGGUGAAAGUGGGGUUGACGCUCUAGACUCUAUUGCAGAGGCACAGGAUUCAGUAAAUGCCACUGAUAUACCACAGACCGUGCCAACUGAUUUUAAAGUAUCGCAUGCUGGUAAUGGUCCUGAGCAAGAUAAAAACGAUACUCAAAUACCCAGUACAGAAACUCAAGAAAAAAUACAAGUAGAAACAAAAAGCUCAGAUCUGGAAACAGCAAAGGAGCUGACUUCUGAUAGAGAGAUCAUGCAAAAAGAUGACAGCACAAAAACAAAUUUUGAACGGGAUGUUGCUGCCACAGAAAUAAGCCAUCCGCAUGCUGAUACAGUUUCAGGGGCACAGGAAUACCCUACGUUACAGGAGCACUUGGAAGUAGCUGCCAACAAUGCUUUGUGUAAAUUAGACUGCGUUAAAAAAACACCGAAUGAGCCUCAGCCAGUUAGCUGCCUAACAGAAAUCCCCUUUCUUUCCACAUCAGUCUUUGCACUUGAUCAUCAGAGCACAGCAAACCAGGAGCCUUUAAACAUUAAGGAUGAUAGUACUGCAGGCGAAUCGCUAAAUAAUGGGCUGGAAGUUACAACACGCCAAAGUGUCUUGGAAGCCAAUUCUGAUUUGCAAGAUGCUAGCAAGGAUAUUCUCCCUGGACACUUAGAGGGCUCGUCACCGCAUACAAGCCAAGCUGCUCAAAACAGCAUUGAAGUGGUACAUUUAGAAAACACUUUGGUGGAGAAUACUUCUGUGAAAGAAACAACUAUUCAUACCCUAAGCUGCCAGCCUGAAGGGGAGAACAUUUUAACAUCACCUGAGACUGCUGAUGCAGGACAGUUUUCAGGAAAUUUAUCAGAGUUUAAUUUUGAGAAGCUGAAGAAAGAGAUAUCUGCAAUUAAAUCUAAAGGAACAAAAAGUGAUGUAAACUUCAAAGCACAGCAGAGUGACAGUUCAGCAGAGUCUCUCUUCAGUCUGCCUACCCUAGGAAAGAGGGCUUCGAGCCUUUCAUCUGUUGGUAAACAAGAAGAAUGUAAUGAGGAAAUUGCAACAAAUAUCUGCACAGAUGACAAGUGCACUAAGAUCUUAGAAAAGCCUGGGAGUUCAGAAAAAAAGGAAAAUGUUCUGAAAGAGGCUAACGGCGGAGCCAAGCCAGACACAGAUAUUUCCAAACAGUCUGCAGAAAACUCUGAAAGGGAGCAUGAGGUUCCCAUUUCUAAGACCUUUGGUUUUGGUGCCAGCUUGCCAGACUUCAGGGAGCACAUCAGCAACAUAUUUAAGAAAACGGUACAUGGUGCUCUGAAUCCCGAAUUGCCCCAGCUCAGAUCUGAAAACCAUGCAGACAGCAGGCAGAGUUCUGGGCUUAAAGAUGCACCAGAACGCCGAAGUGCUGAGAGCUUUUCACAACCCAUCGAUAAAACGGUUGAUGGAAACAUCUAUAAUACAGGACAAGACAGUGACUUCAAAACAGAAGGGCAAGAAUUGCCUGUAGAUUCAGAGAUCUCCAGCAAAGUUCCUGAACAGAAAUCUGUACAGCAAGAAGAUAUGUUGUUGCACCCAAAGGUCCAGGACAUUGAGGAACAGAAGCAGCCCUGUUCCUUUUCAGAAAAGAAGGAUUCCCAAUUGGAUGGUUUUAAAGCUGUCGAGCAGUCUCCAAUUGAAUUGCUCGAGCUAAAUGACAGCCCGAACAGUGAAAAGAUGGAAAGAGAAGAAAACUCACGUAUUAGCAGUGUUGAUGAUGGAGCUCAGGUGAGCUUAGAGGUACAAAUGCUGGAAUCUGCCUCAUUUGAUGAAACAACACCUAUGAACGUCAUCGUGUCUCAUGACAAUAACCAGCAGCCCACUAAAACGGGUACCUCUUCAGAACGUACAGGCACCGCUCAGGAGCGGGAUUUGGAAAGUGUUGCAGUACUAGAGGCAGAGAAUUGUAAUUUAAUUAGGCAAGCUAAUGCAGAACCAGUCUUAGUUAAAGAAGAUCUAAUACUCUAUGGAAAUCAAUGCCAGAAACUUAUGCCAAAUGAGCAGAAGAAAAGCAAGGAAAGUGAACCACCAAGCACUGCUCAGGGCACUUGUGACAUGUCAGCAUCAACAGAAGCAUCUGGAGACUUCUGCAAGUGUGAAGUAGAAAAGAAUGAUUUUCCUAUGUCACCCAGUGGAAAUCAGGAAAUACCGCUCCCCAGCAAUCUUAUGCAUGACAUUAAGUCUGAAGACAACACACAAAUAAUGCCGGAUGCUUUGGAAAAUAAAAAAUGCCUGGAAAUGUUAGACAACAUUCAAGAUCCAGAGCAGAAAAAAGAAUCAACAGUUCAUGGGUUAAUAGAUUACUUAAUAAAUGAAGUAAGCCAUGUUGAUCGUUCCCGAGAUGACUCUAAAAAAGCACUUGGCACUGUGAAUAAGAGAGAUGUAAAAGAACAAAGUGACACCACGUUAAGCGCAGCAGAGAUAGAAGCUUCUAUGUACAGUGAUAAGCAACAAGGAGACAUCCUGAAAACGGGUAUUGCAGGGGCAUUAUUCACUGGCGAAAACACAGAUUUUCAAGCCAGCAUUCAAGAUCAAGGGACAUAUACAAAAACACAUCCCUGGGAGACUAUCACAGGGAUGGAGCAAGAGGAGCAUUUUGCCAGUACAAAUGUUAAUGUUGAAAAUCAGCAGAGCGAAAUGCAUUUGGAUCACAAAAGCUCAUCUCAGACUGCUGAAGCCAGGAUAUCAGCUGAAAGCAACUUUCCUGAGCCCUGUCACUCACUCCUUCCUGUACCUGAGAAGGAUGCCAUAGCUGUAACAGCCAAGGCCAUCUCAGAGGAGGCAAGAAAUGACAUCAGAGUAGAAAGGUACAGUGAAAAUUCUCCUGUGCCAGGUGAUGACAUACAAUUGGCUUCUUCCUCUGAUUUCUCCAAACAACCUUUAGCUGUUUCUCCGUCUUGUGAACAUGCUGCUCCUCUGGCUGCCACUGAGCUGACUGCAGCAAGCACUUUGGAGCCAGGUAGCUGCAAAGAAGCUGAAAGUGGACUUGCACCUGUCCCUGAGGAUGUAUCUUUGGCUCCUGCUCCCAUUACUGUUGUAGAACCACCUGCUCAAGACAGCGAGGGAUUGACAAGGGAAAUAAAGAGGAGCUCCGACUCUGAAGAAGCAUUUGAGACACCAGAAUCCACAACUCCAGUAAAGGCUCCACCUGCCCCCCCGCAGCCACCACCGGAAGCAGCCCCGGCAGCUGACGCCGCAGAACAGGAAAUCAGGCAACCGUUGCCUUCAGAAGACACAGGAUUCUGUUCUGAUACCGUGUCCAUAACUGAUGUAUCACAUAGUGAAUCAGUUGAAGAAAGCCCUUUUCGUCCUCCCUCCCAUUCAUUUUCUGCUGUCUUUGAUGAGGAUAAGCCCAUAGCUAGCAGUGGGACGUACAAUUUAGACUUUGACAACAUUGAGUUGGUAGAUUCUUUCCAUACCUUAGGACCAAGCUCUUCAGACGCAAAGAAUCGUGACCCCAAAGCGAAUGUUCGAAGAAAAUCAACAGAUUCUGUUCCAGUUGCCCGAUCUACGUUAUCUCGAUCUCUCAGUUUGCAAGCUAGUGAUUUUGAUGGAGCAUCUUAUCUUGGCAAUAAUGAGACAGUAACUCCAGCAGCAGAUGUGUACAAUACAGGUUCAAGUAGUGCUUGUAGUACCCUUAAGCGAACAAAAAAACCCAGACCCGCUUCCAUAAAGAAGAAGCAGUCAGCAAAAAAACCUGCAGAUGCUCCACCUGUGAAAGAAGUCCAACAAGAGCCAUCAGACACUAGUAUAGCAGUGUCUCCCCCAUGUGAGGAAAAGCCAGUAUCUGACACAAAGGUUGAUUCAGUUAAACCUGAAUGUCCUGAGCCUUCCCAAAUCUCUGCUGAAAAGCAGGAGAUCCCUGCUGUGCCUGAAGCCUCCUAUCCUUUUGAUCCAGAUAAUUUUGAAGGGAUUAGUGCAUUUAGUACUGGCAGCAAAGUGCAAAACUCUCCCUCUGCCAGUAAGAAAACUCUACCUCUUACAACGGCACCGGAGGCUGUGGAGGUGACUCCCUCUGACACUGGAGGACAAGAGGAUCCUCCAGUCAAAGGCCUUGCUGUGAGGCUGGAGUUCGAUUAUUCUGAGGAAAAGGGCAGCAGUGAAGACCAGCCAGAAAGCACUCCUCCACCCAAAAAAGUAGGCAAAAAGCCUGGUGCCAAAAUGCCACUAAGGAGGCCAAAGACUAAAAAGACAGUGGAAAAGCUUGACAAUGCUCCUACCACACCAACCAAGUCACCCACUGAUCCAAAUGAUAUCCCUAUCACAAAAGGCUCUUAUACUUUUGAUAUCGACAAGUGGGAUGAUCCCAAUUUUAACCCAUUCUCUUCCAGUACAAAAAUGCAAGAAUCUCCCAAAUUGCCUCAACAAACAUACAGUUUUGAUCCAGAUAUGUGUGAGGACUCUGUUGACCCUUUCAAGUCAUCUUGUAAGAUAGCCAGCUCACCUUCUAAGUCUCCAGCCUCCUUUGAGAUACCAGCCAAUGCCAGUGAAACAAAUGGAACUGAAGGAGACAACUUAAAUAAACCUGCAAAGAAGAAGAAGACACCACUAAAGACGAUGGUAGAAGAUGUGAUGUCUGUAUGUUCUCUGUUUGAUACAUUUAGGGUGAAAAAGUCACCAAAAAGAUCUCCACUUUCUGAUCCUCCCUCAAAGGACUCUACUCCAUUGCCUACUCCAGAAACACCCCCAGUUAUAUCUACUGUGGUUCAUGCGACAGAUGAGGAAAAACUGGCAUCGUCAGUGACCAGUCAGAAAUGGACGUGCAUGACUGUGGAUCUGAAUUCGGAUAAACAGGAUUACCCAGAGCCAUCUGACCUAUCUACAUUUGUAAACGAGACCAAAUUCAACUCUCCCACAGAGGAGCUGGAUUAUGGCAACUCAUAUGAAAUAGAAUAUAUGGAGAAAAUAGGCUCCUCCGUGCCUGAUGAUAGUACCCAGAAGAAACAGUCUUUGUAUCUUAUGUUUGAUGCCCAGCAGGAGAGUCCAGUUAAAUCCCCUCCAGUCAGACUUUCUGAUUCGACAACUCCAUGUUCAGGGUCAAGUUUCGAGGAAACUGAAGCCCAGCUUUCCUCUGGAAUGAAAAUCCAGCAUCCAGCUUCUCGUGCCCUGACUGCUAGCCAAGAGACACACUUACAAGCACCUGACAAAUCUAAACAGAAAGACUUGGAGCCCAUGACCCUAGGAACAGCUUCAGAGACCAUUGAAAUAACUUCUCCUGAGGACUCCUUUGUCUCUGCUGAUGCUCUUCUCAAUAGGAUAUCCCAGCAAACUUCAUUAAGCAAUCAGCCUGAAUAUCUAGACCCUGAUUUAGCAGAAAAGAAUCCCCCAGUAUUUGCUCAGAAACUUCAGGAGGAGUUAGAGUUUGCUGCAAUGAGGAUAGAAGCACUGAAGCUAGCCAGGCAGAUUACCUUGUCUUCUUUCUCCUCCUCAGAUACCGAGAGAGAGCCUGGUAUCCCAGCAGACAUUCCCAUCUCUAAAAGUGCAUUGUACUCCCGGAUUAGCACCUCAGACGCAGAAAACACCACAAAUCUGCACUACCCACAACAAGAUGUAGAUUCUUCACUACGACUUGCCAGAGAGGAGAUUGUGGCCAAAGAAAGAGAAGUGUCUGAGUGGAAAGAGAAAUAUGAAGAAAGCAGAAGGGAAGUGAUGGAAAUGAGGUAUCACUGCAUAAGAUGGUCUCUGCACCAAACUAAAUUUGAGAACAAGACUACCCAGAAAAGAGACCAGUAGCAGACUUUCUGAAAAUAGUUUCAGAAUAUGAGAAGACGAUUGCUCAGAUGAUAGCUGCUCUGAGAUGCCCAUAAAAAAGACAUUAAAAAAUAUAUAAGGCUGAUAGGAGAUGAAUUUAUGUCUAUUUCUUUUGGAAUACAAGAUUCAGAAGGGAGGCCAGUUCAAACGAAUGACUUCAUCAGACAGUGGAGAGGAUGAUCGCAUUGCGAUGUUUUUGGGGUGUUUGCAACUGUUCUUUACAAUGUAGCAUCAUUUCUAGCAGAGAGUGGUCAUAGAAAAUACAAGGUAUCUGGUGUGUAUGUGAAUCUGUCUUAACGUAAAUUUAUAAUUAGGAAAGUUUUCACUGCAUCUGUUAGUAUGUGAUCAUUGACGACAUGUGUGAAUGUAUUGUGUUUCCCUCUGUUUAAAUUGGCAUCCAUCAUUUCUAUAUUGUAAGUGCAUGAUGACAAAUGUUUUGAUUACUUUUAGUUUUUUCUACAUGAAUAUCUAUAUUCUUAGAGUGAUAUUUUAUAGUGUUGAUACUGCCAGCAUGAAUUGCCUAGAUUCAUGGAUUUAUAGGCAGAUGCUGCAGAAAGAACAGGCUAGUGACUUAGAACCUGAUUUGAAUAAGACUAGAGUCAUGUUCAGAUAAGUAGGUGUGUGCAGCAAACAUGCUUGUUUUUGCCCAAAGGCAAAAACAAGUAGACUGACUGUUUUUUGGACAGGUUCUGCCAUUCUGCUUUUCCCACAAUAAUCCGUCAGAUCCCACUGUGCUUUCAUACAAAUCAAGAGACCCCUAGAAACAAUGUUCCCAGCCCUGCAGAUUAACUGAACUGAAUUAUAAAUGAAGAACAGAAAUCAACCCCAAAAUAAGGCCUUAAACUGUUUCAAAUAUGAGUACGCUAAUUGCUAUUCCCCUUGGAAUUUGAGGGUUUUGGAUACCUAUUGCAUUUGAUUGCCUUUGGCAGGAUCUCUGUCGCAUUUAUAAUUCACGCUUCAUAAGAGCAUGACCAGAACACCCUGUCUGCUGAGCGCUCCAGUUUUUUACAUUAGAUCCACACUAGGGUGUCUCUGCCACUCCACAGAAAGCUGGUUCAGUGCAGUGGAGGUUCAAGCCUCGAGUCCUCCAAAUGUUACUUGGCUGGUCUCUUUUCUCUGUUUCAUGUCUGGGAUUGGUACAUGCCAAAAAUGAGCUUGCUUUUUCUGUCCCCAGUGUUUUCAGUAACACAGACAAAAUGGCAUCUUGGGGUUGUGUGGUGCAUAGUCAGAGACAGAGAGCAUGUACUCAUUUCUUGUGUUGUGUCCCAAUGACUGAACCUGCUUUCAGCCUCCACCUAAAGUUAUUUUUUUCAACUGGUGUUAUUUCAAAUUCAGUCAUUCAUCUACCAAGGAUGCUUUUAUUUUCUGCUGGUUGAGGAACCUAUUUAUUUCUCCUUUGGUUUCAGUGUAGCAAUGCCACAUUGUUGUAAUGCAAUACAAAGAAAAGGAACUUUUGAGGUAACAGCAAAUGAGUUAUUGUACAGGUGGCUUAUUUUAAAUUGCAGCCAAUAUUUCAGGUUAUCUGACCAUGCUGUUAGUCUCAGUUUGAAGGCAUGCAUUUAUUUAUUAACUAAUUUAUAAAGCUAAUUUAAUGACUAUAGCUUCAAUAAAAAGUUGUCUGAAAGGCUUCUCAGAACUGGCCCCUGCUUAUUGUAUAUCCUGGAUGUUGCAAGCCCCGUAAUCAUGGUGUCUGAUCUCCAUUCAGCAAUAUACAGUAUCACAGUUUUAUCUGAUGAGGCGUUGGAUGAAUUGAAACUGAUGCCAUCAUGUGAAAGAAUGUCCCUAUGGAGUAAAUUCUCAAGUUAUGCAGCUGUUCUCCUUAACAUCCUUUCAGACAAAUCAAGAAUAAUUAAUAUUCCUGAUCACGGAACAAAAAGGAAGUUCCUUAUGCUUUGCAUUCACAGUAGUAAAUGACUCUUCUUGAAUCGGUUUAAAUUAUAUUUUUAAAAGAAAUUAUAGCAGGUUUUAGAGAGAGUUCUACAUAAUGUAAUUUUCUAUUUUUCAUCAAAUGUUAUUGACUAGAAUGGCAUUAAAUUCUGCAGCGGGAUAUCUGAUUAUGUUUUUAACACGGGGUUUCAUCAUUAAUGUAGAAGCCCGAUUUGAAGGUUGCUCUCUCUGUUGCCACACAUUUUGCUAUGGAGAAAAGAGAUUUCAUGUAACUAAAUAGAGAACAGGAUUAUGUGGCAUGUAGAAGAAGGUGAUUGGCUAUACCCUCUGCACAAAUACAUGAAAAAACAAUUAUUAUAUAUAUAUUUUUUUGCACACAAUGCUCCUUGCUAAUAAAAUAAAAUGAGGAAAAUAAUGUACUUCAACAGGAAAAUACAUACUUGAAUUGUUGUAUGUAUGACUACAUUCUUUGCUCUUUAUAAAGCCAUGUACUAGAAAGGAUUUCGUUAGUCUUGACCCUCUUUCACUAAUCCCUUUCAAAGUAAUAUUCAUUUAGGUCCGUAAGUCCUCAAAGAGCUUUUCCAGAUUGUCAUGCAUAUGUAUAUUUACAUAAAACCCAGUGAGUGCCAUUGCUUUUGAUGGGAGCAGGAGCAAGUCCAGUACUGAUAGUCCAUACCUAGAAAGCUAAAUUUUGUUCUACUUACAUAACUCAUACACAGUUCCAUGUAGAGGUCUGUAGAUCUGUGCUAUCUGAAUAACAGUAGUCACUAAGUAGCUGCUAACUGGUGCCUUUUCAAGUACUUUCUGACUGUUGUCCUCAUUUGUUGCCUUUCUCAUUCUGUCCUUUCGUGUUUGCUUUCACCUCUCUAUUGCAAGUUUUACCCUAAAAAAGAAAGUCCUGUUCCACAAUUUUUCCACGUAGGAAUGAGUGUUUAACUCCAAAAUGGGGUGCAUCAACAGAACGAGGUGAGAAAGCUCACCUAGCUGUUGUUUUCACUGUGCUGGGCUCGUGUCAGCAUUUACCGCUGUGCACCAAAUGAGUUCCAUUUAGGAUUGAAACAGGAACAUGAGGCCUAAAACGUAAUGCUCUCUUUUGCAUAGGGAUGCAUUUUGCCUAUCAUCUUUCUCUUUCCAAAGUGGCAUAAUUGUCCAUAUUUUUUCUUUAUGUAUCCGUUUUGUGUUUAAUUUUUAUCAUUGAUUUUGAAGUGUCUUUUUUUUAUUUUUUUCCUUCAAAAAUGUCUCCAUAUAUUUCUAAGUUUGAGGAUAUUGUUAAACUCUCACUAUGAAAACAAAAGAAGUGUGUGCUUUCUGCAUUUAAGGUUGUUGCAUUACUUUUUUUCUGCUUUCCUAACAAAUUCCCUGAUUUUCUAUUUUGCUUCCAUUUUUGUUGCUUCUUGCUAUUUGCUUGCAAAACAAACAAACAAACAGGCAAGCCUGGUAAGUAAUGCUUUUCACCACCUUUGACACCUGCAUUUUGCAUUUUUGUUGCUUUUAUACUUUGUAUUUGCUGCAUCCCCAUUAUUAAAUGAUAUAAAUAUUCCUAACAGAUACUGAAAACAGGUUUAAAAGCUAUUGAAUAACAUCCUUUUAUUGCUACUCUUGAACAAAUAUCUCUAAUUCUUUGUUCGUUAAAAAUAUAUCUAGGAAUUUUACUUUUGUUUGAAUUAUUAUUUUUAAAUUGUGAGAAGUGUUCUCAAGAGACAGAAGCCUCUUCAUUAAGGCAAUUAAAGAAUCAUGUAAGCUUAUAUAAAAUGUAUGCAUUUCUAAUUCCUGAAAUAGGAUUUGACCGGCAGUCUUGUUGACAAUAUUGUUCUGUUGAGCAGUGAUAUCUUUGCAGCUAAAUUGAAGAAUACAUCUCUCAAAUCUGCCAGUCCCACUCACAAUGAUGGCAGGUUUUCCAUUGUGUUCAUCCACUCUUUGUUCGGGCUAGAUCUAAAUGCUCCAGGCAGUGAAGUGUCUGCCAUUUCUUGUGAUGCUGUUCUUUAGUUCGAUAGAUAUAACUCUUUACAGUAUGUUUUUCCUAUGCAUGCUAGAUUUCCAUUCCUUUCAUUUUAUUCCUUUUACCUUGUUUCACCUAAAUAUUUCCUUUCUCCUUGGAGACUAAGGUUGGGUUUGAAGCUCACUCUCUGGCCAGAUGACAGGUCAAAGACUUGGCAGGGAUAGCAUUUAACACAUUGGUCAGAAGAAUUGAACACCUGAUGUGCACUCUUCUAAUCCCAUCUGGUCACCUGAAGAAACAAUGUUACUUAUAAUUGGAAGGAGCUGGUUGAGCCUUUCCUGACAGAGAGAAAGCUGCCAGGGAACAAGGAAGAGACGGGAAAGGAGUUUUCUAUAGGGAUUUGAAGGGGCUGUGGUGAAUUAUUCACAGGUUUGACUGCCAUAGAAACAGAUGAGAAGGAAAUCACUCAAAUACAACAGGACUUAGUUUAAUUGCCUUAAAAGAGGCAACAUUUCAUUUCCUUGAUCUGUCACUAGCACCUGAUCAUAUGUGGUUCCAUGCACAUGGACCCUCACAAUGAAGUGGGAUCGUUUUGGGGAGUAUGAGCUUGUGCAUCCAGCCCUUAAAUUAUAGAUUGUCCUCAAGGGUGUAGGUUGCAGCUCUGUUGGUCUAAAGACAUAGGCAGACAAGGAUCUUUGGGUGAAUCUGAUAUCUUUUAUUAGAUCAACUUCGUUUUGAUGUGUUUUGAGAACCAGGUUGUCCUCAAGAUGCAUAAAAACUAACCUUGUGGUGGGACUGAAUUUAGAAGUCUUCUGAGAGGAAAACAAAUGAAGGAUAGCACAUUCUCCUCCUGUAUUUACUAGUCACAGUGGGUACACAGCAUAUGUUUUUGAGAUCACAGUUGAAAAGACCACAGCGAAUCAUCCUAAUAUUGAUUUCCAAAACAUUAUUAAAAGGAAAUUCUACUCUGAAAACUGGCAUGGCAUUCACCUCAGUUUUUCUUUAUUAAAUGUGUUCAGUUCACAAAUAAAGAAAUGUUGUAAUUAACUUAAAUUUGCAAAGUUAAAUCUACCCUGGGUUCUUUCCAUGUCAUACAUUAUUACUCAUAAAGUAUCUGCAGAUCAGGCAAUACCUGGGUAACUCUGUUGACCUCCAUGGGUUUGCAACGUGUUACUCAGUACAUCCAAGUUGAGGUGCAACAUAGAAAUGCAGUUGACACUCUACUAUGUUGGCUAACAGAAAAGGCAGUACAAACCUCUGAAUACCCCAAAGAAGCAAAUCUUUUAUAUUUGACGGUGCCAUAUUAGAAAGUUCCAUGUCUGAGCUGAGCUGAAUUUUAAAUGUUUAUUUCAAGCUAAGGCUUCUGUUGAGAUGGAAAACUGACCUCUGCCAUAUAGAAUGUAGUAGACCUAAAUGGACAGUCUCAGGCUUUAAAAUGUUGCCUGUUCUUUGUUCAGGAGAACCUUUUACCUCAUCAUGGAUGUAAUAAAACUCUCUCACCUCACUGUUAUGUUUUCAUUUCAACUUCAUUCAAAAUGGUCUAUAAAACAUGGAUCAUGAGAAUCAUAUUUCACUGGUAUGAAAAAUAAAGCAUUUUAUUAAGCAGAAUAUUAGCACUUCCUUUCUGUAGCUGCAAAGAGAUGCCAGUUUGUGUCUUGGCCAGUGAUCACCUUGAGUAUAGGAAUACUAAUCCCAACACAUGUCUACUUUUGCCUGGUUUCCUCUUUUAAUUUGAGAGAUGAGAAGCUCAAAAAGUUUAGUUUUACUUUGCUCAUACAUUUAUAAUACACCUGAAUUUAAAUCUGGUGCCAAGUUUCCUGACUGAUAUUGCCCAACAAUGAAACUUGUGAGCCAGCUUUGUACAAUCUAUGGUCCUAAUUUUGCAUGAGCAAUACUUGGAUUGAAUUAAAUGAGGCCCCCAAUUUGCACUGGAUGAACCAGUGUUAUCCAGAAUCAGGUGGUGAGCAUCACAAAUGAUAAUGGCUGGCAUCAGCGGCACAGAUACCUAGUAGCUUUUCACUUAGUUCUUCUUUGAAGAAAGAGAAAAAUCCAACCUCUGUUUCUUCAGAAUAAACAACUGAGUUCAGAGUGCUAUAAAUCAUCGAUAUGAAGAUGUUUUUAAAUUUGGUUUCCAUGUGUUAGAAAGUAAGAGGCAAGACAACUAGACACAUGUUAUCAAACAUAGGAUUAUGCCUCUGUAUCAUGUCUUUUCUAGGUCUAAAGAACCAUUUAGCUACUUGUAUAAACAGCAUAGCAUUGUAAAAACACGUAUAACCCCUUCUGUCAAUUGCUUUUU